UGCAAGUCUAGGGGGUGUAGCAAUACAUCACCGGCGGACGGGUGCGUAACGCGUGGGAAUAUACCUAUCGAUUCGGAACAACUGAGGGAAACUUCAGCUAAUACCGAAUACGUCCUAACGGAGAAAGAUUUAUCGUCGAUAGAUUAGCCCGCGUUCGAUUAGCUAGUUGGUGGGGUAACGGCCCACCAAGGCGACGAUCGAUAGCUGUUCUGAGAGGAAGAUCAGCCACACUGGGACUGAGACACGGCCCAGACUCCUACGGGAGGCAGCAGUUGGGAAUCUUGGACAAUGGGGGAAACCCUGAUCCAGCCAUGCCGCGUGAGUGAUGAAGGCCUUCGGGUUGUAAAACUCUUUCGCGCACGACGAUAAUGACGGUAGUGCGAGAAGAAGCUCCGGCUAACUUCGUGCCAGCAGCCGCGGUAAUACGAAGGGGGCUAGCGUUGUUCGGAAUUACUGGGCGUAAAGCGCGCGCAGGCGGUCUUCCAAGUCAGUGGUGAAAGCCCGGAGCUCAACUCCGGAACUGCCAUUGAAACUGUUAGACUUGAGUAUGAGAGAGGUGAGUGGAAUUCCCAGUGUAGAGGUGAAAUUCGUAGAUAUUGGGAAGAACACCGGUGGCGAAGGCGGCUCACUGGCUCAUUACUGACGCUCAGGCGCGACAGCGUGGGGAUCAAACAGGAUUAGAUACCCUGGUAGUCCACGCCGU
rnacentral:rRNA from 1 species